UACAGAGGUCUCAAGCGUUAUCCGGAUUCACUGGGUUUAAAGGGUGCGUAGGUGGGUCUGUAAGUCAGUGGUGAAAUCCCCGAGCUUAACUUGGGAACUGCCGUUGAUACUAUAGAUCUUGAAUAUCGUGGAGGUAAGCGGAAUAUGUCAUGUAGCGGUGAAAUGCUUAGAUAUGACAUAGAACACCAAUUGCGAAGGCAGCUUACUACACGAUCAUUGACACUGAGGCACGAAAGCGUGGGGAGCAAACAGG
rnacentral:rRNA from 1 species